rnacentral:rRNA from 1 species
UACGAAGGGGGCUAGCGUUGUUCGGAAUUAUUGGGCGUAAAGGGCGCGUAGGCGGUGCGGUAAGUCACCUGUGAAAUCUCCUGGCUCAACUGGGAGCUUGCAGGCUGAAACUGCCGUGCUGGAGUGUGGGAGAGGUGCGUGGAAUUCCUGGUGUAGCGGUGAAAUGCGUAGAUAUCAGGAGGAACACCCAUUGCGAAGGCAGCUCGCUGGGACGUUACUGACGCUGAGACGCGAAAGCGUGGGGAGCAAACAGG